rnacentral:rRNA from 1 species
CUUGGUCAUUUAGAGGAAGUAAAAGUCGUAACAAGGUUUCCGUAGGUGAACCUGCGGAAGGAUCAUUACCGAGUGAGGGCCCUCUGGGUCCAACCUCCCACCCGUGUUUAUUUUACCUUGUUGCUUCGGCGGGCCCGCCUUAACUGGCCGCCGGGGGGCUUACGCCCCCGGGCCCGCGCCCGCCGAAGACACCCUCGAACUCUGUCUGAAGAUUGAAGUCUGAGUGAAAAUAUAAAUUAUUUAAAACUUUCAACAACGGAUCUCUUGGUUCCGGCAUCGAUGAAGAACGCAGCGAAAUGCGAUACGUAAUGUGAAUUGCAAAUUCAGUGAAUCAUCGAGUCUUUGAACGCACAUUGCGCCCCCUGGUAUUCCGGGGGGCAUGCCUGUCCGAGCGUCAUUGCUGCCCUCAAGCCCGGCUUGUGUGUUGGGCCCCGUCCCCCGAUCUCCGGGGGACGGGCCCGAAAGGCAGCGGCGGCACCGCGUCCGGUCCUCGAGCGUAUGGGGCUUUGUCACUCGCUCUGUAGGCCCGGCCGGCGCUUGCCGAUCAACCCAAAUUUUUAUCCAGGUUGACCUCGGAUCGGGUAGGGAUACCCGCUGAACUUAAGCAUAUCAAUAAGCGGAGGA